GCUACACACGUGCUACAAUGGCCGGUACAGAGGGAAGCCACCCCGCAAGGGGGCGCGGAUCUACAAAACCGGUCACAGUUCGGAUCGGGGUCUACAACUCGACCCCGUGAAGCUGGAAUCGCUAGUAAUCGGAUAUCAGCCAUGAUCCGGUGAAUACGUUCCCGGGCCUUGUACACACCGCCCGUCAAGCCAUGGAAGCCGGGAGUGCCUGAAGUCCGUCACCGCAAGGAGCGGCCUAGGGUAAAAUUGGUAACUAGGGCUAAGUCGUAACAAGGUAGCCGUACCGGAAGGUGCGGCUGGAACACCUCCUUU
rnacentral:rRNA from 1 species